GAGCGGCGGACGGGUGAGUAACGCGUGGGUAACCUGCCUCAUACAGGGGGAUAACAGUUAGAAAUGGCUGCUAAUACCGCAUAAGACCACAGCACCGCAUGGUGCAGAGGUAAAAACUCCGGUGGUAUGAGAUGGACCCGCGUCUGAUUAGCUGGUUGGUGGGGUAACGGCCCACCUAGUCUUCGAUGGAUAGGGGUUCUGAGAGGAAGGUCCCCCACAUUGGAACUGAGACACGGUCCAAACUCCUACGGGAGGCAGCAGUGAGGAAUAUUGGUCAAUGGACGAGAGUCUGAACCAGCCAAGUAGCGUGAAGGAUGAAGGUUCUAUGGAUUGUAAACUUCUUUUAUACGGGAAUAAACGGAUCCACGUGUGGAUUUUUGCAUGUACCGUAUGAAUAAGGAUCGGCUAACUCCGUGCCAGCAGCCGCGGUAAUACGGAGGAUCCGAGCGUUAUCCGGAUUUAUUGGGUUUAAAGGGAGCGUAGAUGGGUUGUUAAGUCAGUUGUGAAAGUUUGCGGCUCAACCGUAAAAUUGCAAUUGAUACUGGCAGUCUUGAGUACAGUUGAGGUAGGCGGAAUUCGUGGUGUAGCGGUGAAAUGCUUAGAUAUCACGAAGAACUCCGAUUGCGAAGGCAGCUUACUAACCUGUAACUGACAUUGAUGCUCGAAAGUGUGGGUAUCAAACAGGAUUAGAUACCCUGGUAGUCCACACGGUAAACGAUGAAUACUCGCUGUAGGCGAUAUACAGUCUGCGGCCAAGCGAAAGCAUUAAGUAUUCCACCUGGGGAGUACGCCGGCAACGGUGAAACUCAAAGGAAUUGACGGGGGCCCGCACAAGCGGAGGAACAUGUGGUUUAAUUCGAUGAUACGCGAGGAACCUUACCCGGGCUUAAAUUGCAACCGAAUAUGGCGGAAACGCUAUAGCUAGCAAUAGCGGUUGUGAAGGUGCUGCAUGGUUGUCGUCAGCUCGUGCCGUGAGGUGUCGGCUUAAGUGCCAUAACGAGCGCAACCCUUGCCGAUAGUUACUAACAGGUUAUGCUGAGGACUCUGUCGGGACUGCCAUCGUAAGAUGUGAGGAAGGUGGGGAUGACGUCAAAUCAGCACGGCCCUUACGUCCGGGGCUACACACGUGUUACAAUGGGGGGUACAGAGGGCUGCUACCACGCAAGUGGAUGCCAAUCCCAAAAACCUCUCUCAGUUCGGAUUGAAGUCUGCAACCCGACUUCAUGAAGCUGGAUUCGCUAGUAAUCGCGCAUCAGCCACGGCGCGGUGAAUACGUUCCCGGGCCUUGCACACACCGCCCGUCAAG
rnacentral:rRNA from 1 species